rnacentral:rRNA from 1 species
AUUGAACGCUGGCGGCAGGCCUAACACAUGCAAGUCGAACGAGAACGGAAUAUAGCUUGCUAUAUUUGUCAGCUAAGUGGCGCACGGGUGAGUAAUGUAUAGAUAACCUGCCCUUAAGAAAGGAAUAACAGUUGGAAACGACUGCUAAUGCCCUAUAUGCCUUUAAUACAUAAGUAUGCACGGGAAACGCUUUAGUGCUGAAGGAUGGGUCUGUAUGGUAUCAGCUUGUUGGUGAGGUAAUGGCUCACCAAGGCUAUGACGCCUAACUGGUUUGAGAGGAUGAUCAGUCACACUGGAACUGAGACACGGUCCAGACUCCUACGGGAGGCAGCAGUGGGGAAUAUUGCACAAUGGACGAAAGUCUGAUGCAGCAACGCCGCGUGGAGGAUGACACAUUUCGGUGCGUAAACUCCUUUUAUAUAGGAAGAUAAUGACGGUACUAUAUGAAUAAGGACCGGCUAACUCCGUGCCAGCAGCCGCGGUAA